rnacentral:rRNA from 1 species
UACAGAGGGUGCAAGCGUUGUUCGGAAUUAUUGGGCGUAAAGGGCGCGUAGGCGGUGCGGCAAGUCACCUGUGAAAUCUCCUGGCUUAACUGGGAGCCUGCAGGCGAAACUGCCGUGCUGGAGUGUGGGAGAGGUGCGUGGAAUUCCCGGUGUAGCGGUGAAAUGCGUAGAUAUCAGGAAGAACACCCGUGGCUAAGGCGGCUCUCUAGUACGGUACUGACGCUGAGACGCGAAAGCGUGGGGAGCGAACAGG